rnacentral:rRNA from 1 species
UACAGAGGUCCCAAGCGUUGUUCGGAUUCACUGGGCGUAAAGGGUGCGUAGGCGGUCGGGUAAGUCUGAUGUGAAAUCUCACAGCUUAACUGUGAAACUGCAUUGGAUACUAUCCGGCUCGAGGAAUGGAGGGGAGACUGGAAUACUUGGUGUAGCAGUGAAAUGCGUAGAUAUCAAGUGGAACACCAGUGGCGAAGGCGAGUCUCUGGACAGGUCCUGACGCUGAGGCACGAAAGCCAGGGGAGCAAACGGG